GACGAACGCUGGCGGCGUGCUUAACACAUGCAAGUCGAACGGAAAGGCCCUGCUUUUGUGGGUUGCUCGAGUGGCGACCGGGUGAGUAACACGUGAGUCACCUGCCCUUUACUUUGGGCUCACUUCAGGAAACUGGUUCUAAUACCGGAUAGGAGCUCCUUCUGCCUGGUUGGUGUUGGAAAGUUUCGGCGGUUGGGGAUGGACUUGCGGCUUAUCCGCUUGUUGGUGGGUUAGUGGCUUACCAAGGCUUUGACGUGUAGCCGGCCUGAGAGGGUGACCGGCCACAUUAGGACUGAGAUACGGCACAGACUCCUACGGGAGGCAGCAGUGGGGAAUAUUGAACAAUGGGCGGAAGCCUGAUGGAGGAACGCAGCGUGCGGGAUGACGGCCUUCGGGUUGUAAACCGCUUUCGAAGGUGACGAAGCGUGAGUGACGGUAAUGGGUAAAGAAGCACCGGCUAACUACGUG
rnacentral:rRNA from 1 species